AAAACAUUUCUAUAAAAAUAAUUUAUAGUAAAAUCUGCUCAAUGAAAUAUUAAAUAGCCGCAUUAGUGCUAAGGUAGCAUAAUCAUUUGCCUUUUAAUUGAAGGCUAGAAUAAAAGAUUUAACUUCUAAACUAAUUUCUUAUAUUUACAUUUUUAAAUUAUCUUAAAUGUAAAAAGACAUUUUUUCAAAAAAAAGACGAUAAGACCCUAUCGAACUUAACUUCAGUUUAACUGGGGCAGUUAAUUAAUUAUAAUUUUAAUCAUAUUAAAUUUAAAAACAGACCUAAUAUAAUUAAUUUAAUGAUCAAGUUACCGUAGGGAUAACAGCGUAAUAUUAUUUUAAAGAUCUUAUUAAAAAUAAAGAUUGCGACCUCGAUGUUGAUUUAAUUCCCUUAUUCACGCAAUAGUUUAUAAAGGAAGUCUGUUCGACUUUUAAAAAAUUACAUGAUUUGAGUUCAGACCGGUGUAAACCAGGUCGGUUUCUAUCUUUUAAAAAAAUUUUUACAGUACGAAAGGACCUAACAAUUUAAUUAAAUU
rnacentral:rRNA from 1 species